rnacentral:rRNA from 1 species
AUACGAACGAGACUCUAUCCUACUAAGCGGCAAAGGCUAUUAGACGACUGGAUCCUUGAAACACGUGCGUAAAAACUGACGGAGAGGGUCAACGCGUGGCAUUCGCGUGUCACGCUGCUUCUUCUCGAGCGCACCAAGUCCGUCGUGGCUGCGCGUUGGUUCGCUUGUGUGUCGCCUAUGAUGAUGAAGGACUAACGCGGUUUCUUCGGAUUUCUCGCCUAAUUCGGUCUUGGCUUCGCGCGUGUGUCCUGGCGCGUAGACAAACGUUGUUUCUUCUUAUAGGUAUUGACGACUCUGCCAAAGUCGUACGAGACAGAGAGCAAUAACAGGUCUGUGAUGGCCUUAGAUGCCCUGGGCCGCACGCGAGCUACAAUGCCGGGUACAGCGGGUGCGCUGUCCUUCUCCGAAAGGAGCGGGUAACCCUCUGAAAGCCCUUCGGACGGACUGCGCUUAUACGCGUGAGUUCGUCGUGGCUCGCUUGGGCCUGGGGUUUGCAAUUAUCUCCCACAAACGAGGAAUGCCUUGUAUUGGCUAGUCACUGAGCUUGCAGCGACUCAGUCCCUGCCCUUUGUACACACCGCCCGUCGCUACUACCGAUUGAGCGUACCAGUGAGAUUCUUGGACUGGCGAACCUUCCCCUCGCGGGAAGGCGAACGACGGGAAGAGACCCGAACUGGUGCGCUUAGAGGAAGUAAAA